rnacentral:tRNA from 1 species
ACUAUUUUGGCAGAAAAGUGUAAUAGAUUUAGAAUCUAUAAAUGUAAUUAAAAUUACAAAUAGUA